AUUGAACGCUGGCGGCAGGCCUAACACAUGCAAGUCGAGCGGAUGAAGGGAGCUUGCUCCUGGAUUCAGCGGCGGACGGGUGAGUAAUGCCUAGGAAUCUGCCUGGUAGUGGGGGAUAACGUCCGGAGACGGGCGCUAAUACCGCAUACGUCCUGAGGGAGAAAGUGGGGGAUCUUCGGACCUCACGCUAUCAGAUGGGCCUAGGUCGGAUUAGCUAGUUGGUGGGGUAAAGGCCUACCAAGGCGACGAUCCGUAACUGGUCUGAGAGGAUGAUGAGUCACACUGGAACUGAGACACGGUCCAGACUCCUACGGGAGGCAGCAGUGGGGAAUGUUGGACAAUGGGCGAAAGCCUGAUCCAGCCAUGCCGCGUGUGUGAAGAAGGUCUUCGGAUUGUAAAGCACUUUAAGUUGGGAGGAAGGGCAGUAAGUUAAUACCUUGCUGUUUUGACGUUACCAACAGAAUAAGCACCGGCUAACUUCGUG
rnacentral:rRNA from 1 species